rnacentral:rRNA from 1 species
GACGAACGCUGGCGGCGUGCUUAACACAUGCAAGUCGAACGAUGAAGAAGAGAGACUCGAACUUGUGUUCAAAUUUCACUUCGGAUUAGUGGCAGACGGGCGAGUAACGCGUGAGCAACCUACCUCUUAAAAAGGGAUAGCCUCGGGAAACCGUGAUUAAUACCAUAUGACACAUUCAUAAGGCAUCUUAAGAAUGUUAAAGCUACGGCGGUAAGAGAUGGGCUCGCGUCCCAUUAGCUAGUUGGUGAGGUAACGGCCCACCAAGGCGACGAUGGGUAACCGGGCUGAGAGGGUGAACGGUCACAGUGGAACUGAGACACGGUCCAAACUCCUACGGGAGGCAGCAGUGGGGAAUAUUGCACAAUGGAGGGAACUCUGAUGCAGCGACGCCGCGUGAGCGAUGAAGGAAUUCGUUUCGUAAAGCUCUGUUCUAUGGGAAGAAAAGGACUGUACCAUAGGAGAAAGCCCCGGCUAAAUACGUG